rnacentral:lncRNA from 1 species
UAGGUUUGGGUUCAUAUAAACAUGGUUGCACCACUCAUAGAUGGGGCCUCCACCUGGGGGAUUUUCAUGGGGAUGAAAACCACGCUUUUGGCACUGCUGAAUAACUUUUACACCUCCAGGAUCAGAUAGGCGGAAAAUACCGUAAGGUCUGCAUUUUAAAUACACUUGAAACCAUUAGAACAUUUGGCUCAAGGACACAAUAAGCAUUGUCUAAUAUCCCUCUCCAUGAAAAAAUAAAAAUAAAACAAAAACAAAAAAAAAGUGUGCAUAGAUCUAAAUGUUUAUCUAUAAAUUCGACAAAAUAACUAAGGACUGACGCUACUGAUUUAACAUAGGAUGACAACAGUACUACGCAACGAAAAACUGACAUCACUUUCUCACAUCUUUAUCAGAUUUUCAAGGAUGUAGCAUAACAAUUUCGUCAUUUCCUCGGAAGAAUAAGUAUCAAACAAGAAUAAAUUGUGCAAAAGCUACAAUGUUCGCGACGAAAAAAAAUAAUGACCGUCAUCACAUACCGAGAGUUGUCAGUUGGCGCCAUCACUAUAGCAAUAGCCUCUGGCAACAUUAUCUACAAAAAAUGACUUAGUAAGUUUUGCGAAACUGGCAAGGAUUACCACAAGAACUACAAAGAUGCAUGACAUAAUGCCCAAACUUCACAAAAGCACAAUCUGAAAAGCUUAUCACCACCAGUAUUAGACAGCCAGGAAAUAUUCAAAUACAGUACUCUGUGAAUAGGAGUCAAUUAUACAUAAUACUAAUCAUAUUGUAAUGGUCAAAAUUGAAUAUGGACUGACUGACCUGAUAGGAGUAAUGAGUAUGGAGAUCAAUGGAGGACAUAAAACACGAUUGUGUCGGAUGUGUCUGCAAAAUCAACAGAGAAACGUAUUCAUAGCCACAUGUAAAUCGUUCCAUAGUUUACAAGAGCCGUAUCAAGCACGAAAAGAUGCUAGGUAUCUCAUGACCUAUAUCUCUAAAUUAGAAAAACCUAUGCUGACUUAACAAUCUUCUUACAUGUAUCCAACCAAGCUGAAAAAGACUUCGCUUGUCUUGUGCAUCAAAUAUUUCCUCCUCAUUAAUUGUUUGACACUGUGAUAAACACAUUCCAAACAGGAAUUAAGAGGAUAACCCAAUCUUUCUUAUGCUUACAAGUAAAAUUAACAAAAACAAGCUUAACUCUACUGUCAUCCAUCCCAUGAACAAAGAUCAUAUAAAUCUGCUUUACGAACGUCUACAAAAGUAGAUCAAUACGGUCAAUUAUAUCUGCAAGUCUAUUGUUUGUGAAAUUUGAACAUCAGAAAAACAGUGUGCGAGAAAAUAGCCAUACGGAGUCGGAUGUGGCUUCCUGCUUUGGAACGAUCAAAGUACAAACGUAAAAAACGCCCUUCUUCUGCAAAAAAUAACCAAGAGGAGGCACUAUCAAUUUACAAGUAUGCUCAGUUUUUACUGAAUGACAUUACCGCCACGGUCACAAAUUGGUCUGGCAAAGCAAUUAUAUAUGAAAAAAUAAAAGCUCUACAUGGCUAACAUGUUUGCAGAUUGAACUCACCAAG